UACAGAGGUCUCAAGCGUUGUUCGGAUUCAUUGGGCGUAAAGGGUGCGUAGGCGGCGCGGUAAGUCGGGUGUGAAAUCUUGGAGCUUAACUCCGAAACUGCAUUCGAUACUGCCGUGCUUGAGGACUGGAGAGGAGACUGGAAUUUACGGUGUAGCGGUGAAAUGCGUAGAUAUCGUGAAGGAAGACCAGUGGCGAAGGCGGGUCUCUGGACAGUUCCUGACGCUGAGGCACGAAGGCCAGGGGAGGCAAACGGG
rnacentral:rRNA from 1 species